GCAAAUAAAUAAUUAAAAGAAAAAAAUGUACGGGGUAAAAAAAAAAAGAAAAAAAUCCGCUUGUCUGUCCUUGAAAGUAGAAGACCGGAAGAAGGAAGCGUCAAAUCGACUUUUUAAAUUUACCUAUUCUGCGCGUGCCAGAAACUUACACCCUAUUUUAAGAACCGUAUACCCGCAAUUCCUCGACCUUGCUUUCAGUUUUGUUUGUUGUUUUGACUCGGUUCGCGAUAAGAAAAUGACGACCGUUUCGGUAAGUCUCUCUAUAAUCAUUUAUUCUCCUCCCACGUUGCGAUAACCAAAUCGGUCUAUCGUCAGAAUAAUUAUUUUAUUCCCCCGUAUGACGAGUUAUAAAGAUUUCUGCGUAACGAAGGAUUAGCUUAUUUAAUUAGAGGUUUUACACCGAAAAUAAUCAGUAUAUUAUAUUAGUUUCCUAAAUCCCCAAUACUAAUGAGUAUCAUCCGUCAUACGUAAGCCACUCUCCUCAUAAAUUCUCCUCUCAUCGGUAAAAUUGAUGACGAUAAAAUGGAAAGCAUCCCUCUCUAACAUCUGCUCCUUCUUUAACGUGCAUAAUCCUCUCUCUCUCUUCCUACGCUGAAACAGCUUGUGUUAAUUAGAAUAUAUAUAUAAUAGUAAUAUUAUUACAGACUUUAUGUAAUAGUUACAUUCUUCUGAUCAGAUGAUGCUAGUUUUCAUGGUUGCAGUUCAAAUUCUGACAAUUGAUUUAACCUAGUUUUAUGGCGUUGACCGUAGGUGAGUCUGGACUAGAAGGCGCCGAUUCGUCUACAUUUUUACUGUUGUUGCUAUAGAGAUGAAGGUAGUGUGUAUAGGAAACACCAAUGAAUAUUAAACACUACCUUUUUUUUUUAUUUUUUUAAUCCAUGAGAUAUUAAUGCUCGAUGUUAAAUUAUAGCGAUGAAUCGAUUAAAACGUUAGCCAACCAUGAGGCACACAAAACGAAUUUUUGCAAACCUUUAAAACAAAAAAAAAAAAAAAUCGUUAUGCCUGGCGAUAAAAUUUUGUCAACCUCCGAGUGUCGUUUUUACUGAUCGAAUAUUCGUUGUCAUAAUUUUAGUUCGUAAUCAGUCAACACACACGACUGGGAGUGAUUUAGCAGUCUCUCUGACUCACGGCCAAUCUGGUUAAAUGUGUAACUGGGGGGGGGAAAAAAAAGUGAUUCAAAAUUAGUCUCUGCAUCUUUCUUCUUCGUCUUUCUUUCUUUUUUAUAUCUGUAAAACGACUUUUAAAAUAAAUAAAUAAAAAAAAGUUUGUCAAAAGAGAGAUUGUCGUUGGAAGAAGGAGAGGAGAGAAUAUGGAAGAGGGCAAGCGAUUUUAUUCUAUUCGUGUCAUUGGCUGUCGGGGGAAUUAAGAUAGGGGGACCGGCUGUUCAAUUUUCCCCGAUUUUCUCUCACGUGACUCAUAGCGGAUCUAUUGUCGCAUGUUUGUUGGUCAUGUCUGCAUGUUGGCCAGUCACGUGGUAGUGUAUUGCGUCGAUGGAGAUGCGCAUAAGUUCAUUAUUGUAACAUUUACUCAACCGGUUGUGUGAAUAUGGUGUGAGUGCAUUUGCUUAUAACAAUGGAAGAAAAGGGAAGAAGAUCUCGUAGGGAUGUAUUGGUGGGUAGCUCUCUUUUAAUCUAAACACAAUGCGUAUUAUUUGAUGCAAAGACUUUUUUUUUUUAACGUACUCGAGUCUAAAAAUUGCAUCGAGAGAUCAUUUAUUUUGACGUGUGUAUAUAGAGCGCGACCAAACAGCUAAACCGUUUAAAUCUCUAUUUUUAUUUAUUUACUUAUUUAUUUAUUUAUUUUUAAUGUUCUUAGAAUUCGAAUAUUCAUAAACGCGUCGACGGUAUGGUUUCCAUGGAGAUGAAACACUGGGGUGUGGUUGCAUUUGUGCCAUUAAAAAAAAACAAUAAUAAAAGUUUGCUAGAAAACCUUAGAACGGGAAUUUCCAUCAAGAAUUACUUUGUUGUAUCAAACGACUCGUAUGUAAAAACGUCCUUAAUUCCGCUUUAAAGGAUGUUUUUUAUUAAUUUUUAUUGUUUAAAAAUUGAUUUUAUCAUCUUUUAAGUAAGAAUUAUCGCCCUUUUCAAAACUUAAGUGAUUAUUUAUGGCAAUAAAUUAUUUUUUUUUUUUGUAGGUGUAUUCCCAUUUUAAACGAGUACUUUUCCUAUCCGUAAAUGGAGGCUUUAACACGCAUAAUAAUCUAUCGUUUUUAACAAAAAUCGGAACUCGAGUGCAUCUUAACUUUACUUAAUUAAUAAUUUUUUUAUAAUCUAAAACUCUAAUAAAUAAAAUAUCUGUGUUUGUGAUCAUAGAGACUGAUUAAGGUAUCUAAAAAACAAGAAAGUGUAGAACUGAAAACCUUUUAUCUUACAGUAGAAUCCUUAUACGAAGAAAAUGCUUGUUAGAAAGAGAUUCCAAAGAGGAUUAUUUUAAUCUUAAAAAAAAAAAAAAUUAGUUUGUCCUUCCGUAGUUGAACUUUCUCCCGUAGUAUUGUUGUCUCCGAAUUAAGCUCUUAAGUAGAAAAAAAAAUCUUGCUUGGAGAUUGAUGAAAAAGGAUUUUUAGAGCCUUACAGUGAAGAAAAUCUAGUAGUAAAUGAUCCUCAUCCUCGGAAAAGAUAGACUCUCCUGUAAUGCCCACCGAAAGUUUAUAGCAUUUUUUAAAAAAUAAGAAUUGUAAGAAGUACAACCAAAAAAAUAUUUUCCUUUUUAAUAAAAGAUUCUUUAUGAAAUUAACAUUAAAAUCCACUUAGUAAUAAUGAAAAAUGCUUCUGGUGACCUUAGGAAAAAAUUUUUUAGAAGGAUAGUUUAGAGGAUUAUUUUGUUUAAGGCAUUUUAGAAAUAUUCUUUCGUAUCUGGAAUUAUAAAAAAUUAUUCUCUUAAUCGAUUGAAAUUCUAGAAAUUUUACUUAUGAUAGAUUAUAAAGGAUUAAUUUUAUUAAAAAAAAUUAAUUAGUUAAUUCUCAUUAAAAAAAAGUUCACUUAAAAUUGAAGAUUUUCGUAAUUUUUACACGAUUUCUACG
rnacentral:lncRNA from 1 species